rnacentral:tRNA from 1 species
GAGAGAUGGCUGAGUGGUCGAAAGCAACGGUUUGCUAAAUCGUCGUAGGUUUAAUCGCCUACCGGGGGUUCGAAUCCCCCUCUCUCC